rnacentral:rRNA from 1 species
GAUGAACGCUGGCGGCGUGCUUAACACAUGCAAGUCGAACGUGAGAGGGUAGCAAUAUCCUUGAAAGUGGCGCACGGGUGAGUAAUACGUAGGUGACCUGCCCUGGAGUGGGGGAUAACAACUGGAAACGGUUGCUAAUACCGCAUAAUACCGGACACUAGGGAUAGUGACUGGUAAAAACUCUGGUGCUUCAGGAGGGGCCUGCGGCCGAUUAGCUAGUUGGCGGGGUAAGAGCCCACCAAGGCAUUGAUCGGUAGCUGGUCUGAGAGGACGAUCAGCCACACGGGAACUGAGACACGGUCCCGACUCCUACGGGGGGCAGCAGUGAGGAAUAUUGGGCAAUGGGCGAAAGCCUGACCCAGCAACGCCGCGUGGAGGAAGACGGCCUUCGGGUUGUAAACUCCUUUUACGGGGGAAGAGGAAGGACGGUACCCCGAGAAUAAGUCACGGCUAACUACGUGCCAGCCGCCGCCGUAACAC